UACGGAGGGGGGCUAGCGUUUGUUCGGAAUUACUGGGCGUAAAGCGCACGUAGGCGGCUUUGUAAGUUAGAGGUGAAAGCCCAGGGCUUAACCCUGGAAUUGCCUUUAAGACUGCAUCGCUAGAAUUGUGGAGAGGUAAGUGGAAUUCCGAGUGUAGAGGUGAAAUUCGUAGAUAUUCGGAAGAACACCAGUGGCGAAGGCGACUUACUGGACACAUAUUGACGCUGAGGUGCGAAAAGCGUGGGGGAGCAAACAGG
rnacentral:rRNA from 1 species